AAAAACUUCCCUCCCAACUCACAAACACUCAGCUGACAAAGUCUCAGCUCACAAAUUCUCGCACUGCUCCCUCGUCUCAAACAAGAAAAGCUCUGCCGUCCCUCGCCAUCUCAGCCCUCCGGUCUCCCUCCGUCGCUCCUCCACCAAUGUCGCCUCUCCCAGCCGCUGCCGCCGUCGAGACCGGGCACCCUCUUCUCGACUCUGCUGCCGUCGAGACUCUUCCCGCCUCUGCUGCCGUUGAGACUCUUCCCGCCUCUGCCGCCAUCGACACUCUCCCCGUCGCCUCGCUAGUCGUUGUCUCUACCACCGUCACAGGUUAGUCCUCAAAUCUAAAACCCUAAUCCCUAAAUUCCUAAUUCCAUUUAUCCCUAUCUCAUAAUUUCAUUAAGCCCUAAAUCGAUAUGUUUUUCUUACUAUGUAAUUUUAUUGGUGAAAGUAAAUGGCUUAGAGCUCUACUUUGGCUUUCCUGUGACACUUUUAGUCUUACCAAUUAAAAAUGGAUAGAUGUGCAGUAUAAAUGCAUCGUAUUACCUGAAGCCGUUCAUGUUUAUUAUCACCUGUUGAGAUUAAUGACUAAUUUAACUAUUUGAUGUUAUUUGGCAAAGGAAAUUUAACAGCUUGCUAUUAGUUCAUAUGAUAUUUCUUCUUUGUUUAUUAAGAUUUUUGGUCUUAUUAUUGUUUUGUAGCUGCAAUCUAUUAUGCACAAGCCUCAUAAGUGAAGAUGUCUUUGUGGUAGAUAUAUUGCUCUCUACUAGCUUUUUUCAGGGUUAUAAAUGUCUGCAAAUGAAGUUUUGAAUUCAGAUACCCCUGAGUAUGAGAGAAUCCAGUGGUCACACUGUUGGUGUUGAUUGUUUGCCUGAGGAGAUGAAUGGCAUGAAAAUCAGGGAUGAUAAGGAUAUGGAAGCAGCAGUUGUUGAUGAUCCAUGAAAUGGCAGUGGUCUCUGCUGUACAAGCUCAGCAGGUUCAUAUCUAACUAUCUAAGCAUCUUAUUAUGCAGUUACUAUGUUUAGACUUUCCACCUUAUUUGUUCUUUCCCCCGUUUUACAGUGUAUCUAUGAAUCUAUUAUACUCUAAAGAUAAAUAACUUGUUAAGUAAUAAUGUAAUUGGAAAUUACAUUAAUCUCUGUAAGAGUUGAUGUAAGAGUUGCUUGAGAAACAAUAAUGUUAUAUAAAUUGUAUGUAUGAUGCAUCAUGCAAAGAUAUAGUACGAGAACUAAGGCUGAAGAAUACCGUGAAUUCGUGAUAGUUUGCUAAUUUUCUGUUUUCAUGUGUUCUCAAGUCAAGUAACUUUAGCUUUGUGUUAUCUGAUUUUGGUGUAGGAGAAACUAUCACUUUUCUGUUUUCAUGUUUAAUCACUUUUCUGUUUUCAUGUUUUCUCAAGUCAAGUAACUUUAGCUUUGUGUUAUCUGAUUUUGGUGUAGGAGAAACUUUAUAACAGCGCACAAAUUCUUGAGAUUAAAUUGGAGCUAACCGGGUGAUUGACUAAAUGAUGAAACACAAGUUGAUGAAGAUCAAGUACUUUAUGUUUUUAUGACUUUUUUUCUUUGUGUGUUUGGCAAUAGUGCAAUGAUUAAAUAUUUAUGGAUUGGACAUGAUACUAUCUUUUUGUUGUAAACAAUUUUGAUAUUUAAAUAUAUUUUCAUUUUGAAUUUAAA